CGCCAUUCAGACUAGAGCACAAUAAGUAGGAUGUCUACGCAUUCCUGCUGGACAGAAGAGUGACUAUACUGGCCCAGAGCAGCAAGUGUUGUGCUGUCUAAACAAAAUACCCUUCAGGACCAAGCACUGGUCAGGGCUGUUGGCCGUAAAGGAUCUGAUUAUAGCGUGGAGCAGCAAGAAUUCUGCUCGCCAUGCAAAACGGCCUUCGAACUCGACCAAAGGAGCUAAAAUGUUACUCAGGCCUGCUUGCUGGCAGUGUGCUGAUUUUGGCCCAAAGCAGAAACUGUUCUGAACACUUGACAAAACGGCAUUCAGAGCCAACCACUACUCAGAUCUAUUGUCCGUGAAGAAGCUGAUUUCAGCC